rnacentral:rRNA from 1 species
GAUGAACGCUGGCGGCGUGCUUAACACAUGCAAGUCGAACGUGAAGAGGUAGCAAUACCUCGGAAAGUGGCGGACGGGUGAGUAACACGUGGGUGACCUGCCUCGCAGUGGGGGAUAACCACGGGAAACUGUGGCUAAUACCGCAUGGUCCGAUUGGCCUGGGAAGGUGAAUCGGUAAAGCUUUAGUGCUGUGAGAGGGGCCUGCGUCCGAUUAGGUAGUUGGUGAGGUAAUGGCUCACCAAGCCGAUGAUCGGUAGCUGGUCUGAGAGGACGAUCAGCCACACGGGAACUGAGAGACGGUCCCGACUCCUACGGGGGCAGCAGUGAGGAAUAUUGGGCAAUGGACGCAAGUCUGACCCAGCAACGCCGCGCGGAGGAUGAAGGUCUUUGGAUUGUAAACU